rnacentral:rRNA from 1 species
AGGCUAGCGGCAGGCCUCACACAUGCAAGUCGAGGGGUAGAGGAAGCUUGCUUCCUUGAGACCGGCGCACGGGUGCGUAACGCGUAUGCAAUCUACCUUGUACAGAGGGAUAGCCCAGAGAAAUUUGGAUUAAUACCUCAUAGUAUUAUUGAAUGGCAUCAUUUAAUGAUUAAAGUUCCAACGGUACAAGAUGAGCAUGCGUCCUAUUAGCUAGUUGGUGUGGUAACGGCAUACCAAGGCUACGAUAGGUAGGGGUCCUGAGAGGGAGAUCCCCCACACUGGUACUGAGACACGGACCAGACUCCUACGGGAGGCAGCAGUGAGGAAUAUUGGACAAUGGGCGCAAGCCUGAUCCAGCCAUGCCGCGUGCAGGAAGACGCAUCUAUGGUGUGUAAACUGCUUUUGUACGGGAAGAAACACUCCCUCGUGAGGGAGCUUGACGGUACCGUAAGAAUAAGGAUCGGCUAACUCCGUGCCAGCAGCCGCGGUAAUACGGAGGAUCCAAGCGUUAUCCGGAAUCAUUGGGUUUAAAGGGUCCGUAGGCGGUUUAAUAAGUCAGUGGUGAAAGCCCAUCGCUCAACGAUGGAACGGCCAUUGAUACUGUUAGACUUGAAUUACAAGGAAGUAACUAGAAUAUGUAGUGUAGCGGUGAAAUGCUUAGAUAUUACAUGGAAUACCAAUUGCGAAGGCAGGUUACUACUUGUGGAUUGACGCUGAUGGACGAAAGCGUGGGGAGCGAACAGGAUUAGAUACCCUGGUAGUCCACGCCGUAAACGAUGGAUACUAGCUGUUGGGGGUAAACUUCAGUGGCUAAGCGAAAGUGAUAAGUAUCCCACCUGGGGAGUACGUUCGCAAGAAUGAAACUCAAAUGAAUUGACGGAAGGGCGAAUUCCAGC